AUGUUCUCGUCGCAGUCACUCGGCCGCGUCAACAACAUUCGCACGACGCUGAUCAACGUGCAGAAGGGGAACCAAUCGGUGUCCUCCUUCUUCGCCGCCGUGAGAGGGCUCGCUGAUGAACUCGCCGCGGUGGGAAAACCAAUCUAAGACGACGAGCUCAUAUCCUACAUCAUCCACGGGCUGGACCAAGACUACCAGCCCCUCGUUUCCGCCCUGGACGCCCGUGUCACUCCGGUAACCCUUGAUGAGCUCUUCGCUAUGCUUAGCAAUUUUGAUCAGCGCAUGGCGCAGUUUCACGGCUCCGGCGGCGGCUUCAAGUCCUCGGCCAACUCUGUCUCCAGAGGCCGCGGUGGCGGCUCUCGCUCUCGUCCUUCCUCUCGUGGCAAGGGGAGGUUGGUGGCGGCAGCUCCUUCAACAACACUCGCGGCAGCGGACGCUCUGGCAGCUCAAAAGGGCGCCGCGGUGGCGGCUCCAACAGAUCGCGUCCGUACUUGCCUCGCUGCCAAAUUUGUGGCAAGCCCGGCCACACGGCGAGGGACUGUUGGUACCGCUACGAAGAUGAUGAUUGUGAUUCCUCGCAACACGAAGAAAAAAUUGCUACCGCUGCCGAUGAUUUCUACGGGGUCGACACAAAUUGGUACGUCGAUAGCGGAGCCGCCAACCACAUCACCAACGAGCUUGAGAAGGUCACCAUGA
rnacentral:rRNA from 1 species